rnacentral:lncRNA from 1 species
AACAUAAGGGUAUGCUCCUUUCAUGCCAUAAAUAAAUUCAUCCCUCAUCCAUUCCCCACUUAGUUUCCAAUUAUCAAGGCGCCUCAGAGUGUUGUGGUUUGAGAUUGAAACCUGAGCCCAAUAAUCUGUCUCAUAAGACCUCAUCACAUCAUACAUAAUGGUAAUAUCACCGUCUUGGCGGGGCAGAAAUUCAUUUUCUGCUGUGAUUUUUGAUCUGAAACUUGAAUCUUUGAUGCAGCAUAUGUGCAUCACAUAGUUACCUACAUUAACCAAAAUUGUCAUAUAUCGUUAUUCCUACAUAUGAAAAUCCUAACAGAAAACACAAUUCGUAUAACAGAAAACACAAUUAGCCGGCAGAGGAACAUUCGGAGCCCCGACACCAAACUGAGUACCCACCAGCCGAAUCUGAACCUCCAUUUGGGUCCAAUCUCUUGCAGUUUCAACUGCAGAUUUAAGGUCAGUUUCCGGGAGGCCGGCAAAAACGGUACCGUUGCCAACAAAAGCAGGAAGAGAAGAAGUCACAUCAGCUAAAACAACAUUAGUCGCAAAAACCAAAAGCUCGUUAUGUUGAAAGCCAACAAAGACUCUCCAGGACUUGAGCUCAUUGAGGCCGUUGUUGAGAAUGGUCACAGUGGACUCGAACCUGUAAGCUUGGUUAGCUGGGUUAGUGGGUGGGAUUGGAUAUCCUGUGGUGUGGGUGUACGACAAGAAUACGCCGUUGCAGGCUGUUGACAAUGACGCUGAUGGAGGCGGAGGCGGUUGCUGUUGUGGAGUUGGUAAAGAAUGUGAACUGUUAAGAGAGAGUAAGAUUGUGAUGACGAAGAUGAUGCGAAGAUUAAGAGCCAUGGUUUCAUGAAGAGAGAGAGAGAGAGAGAAUUAAAGCCUAUGCAUGAGGCAAACAAGAAUGAUGAAGAAAGCUUCGUAUAAACUGUUAAAUUUAUUGUAAACUAUGGGAUUCGGUGUGUGUUUUAAUUAAUUAAUUUACGCGCCGGCUCUAUUUGCUCUGCCUGUUCUUGCAUUGCUUGCAUGGGAACAGAACUGGUCAUGUCACUUAUGCGACAUGAGACUUGAGUUUUUUUUUUUAAAUCAAGAUGACGUGGUCUCGUCUCGUUCCAAGGCAUUCAUUAGAGUUUGGUGUAAAUUAAUGUCAAAGAAAGAAAAAUGACAAACAGAUUAACGCGACCUCCAAAAGCGCGAGAUUGGAACCCAUUUAAAGUUUAGAGUUGGGCCUUCCUGGACUUGGCUUUUGAUAAAUCUGAUUUCUUGCAGCUGCCGGUACAGAUGGGUCAAAAAUUUUCACGGGAGGGAUUUUUGGGGAUUUUUCUUAUUUAGAGAGGGUAUAGAAUGAUUUUAUAUCUAAUUUUUUAUUUGCGGAAGGAACAGAUACAAAUUUUUAUCUAAUUUUUUAUUCGAAAAAGGAACGAGGAUGAGGUGAAAUCCCCAACCCCUACCCAUUUCUUCAUCUCCUUAUCUUCAUUUUUAAUUUAAAUUUUAUUUCUAGAAUUAUUAAUAAAUGAAUAAUGAAAUUUAAAUUAUAAUAUGUUAUAAAAUUUUUUAGCCUACUUAAUUAGUUGUAGUCCUGAAUUACUAUUCGACCAGACCUUAUUUUAAAAGUCUUGGCCCAAAAUUAUUUUAGAUUAUGAGUCAUACUGCUUAUAUUAUUUUUGUUGUUUUACAUUUGAAACCUGAUGCUAUCUCUCAAUCUAUCACAUUCUUUGAGGAAGAACAUGAGGAGCAUGAGGUGCAAGAGUAAAUGUUUUUAUUGAAAAUAUUAAUUUCACUAUCUAUACUCAUUUAAUUUAUUUCAUUAUUGAUAUAAAAGUAAUUUCUUUUUAUUAUAGGAUUAUGAAGAUUCACAAAAAUAAUUAUUCUGAUGAUUUGUAUUUUGUAGUGUGAUUUUUGUAAUGGAUUAAUGUUAGUGUAAGAUAUAUUGUCAAACCUUAUUUUUGUUUAAAUAUUUAUUUUAAUAUAAUUAAAUUAAGUUCAGAAAUUAAAAUAUAUAUCAGUUAUUCAGAGAUUAGAGAGUCCCCUUUUAUUAUUCGGAAAGAGGACGGAGAUGCACUCAAAUAAUUAUGAUGGAAACAGAAAUGAAAUGAGGAUAUAUGAAAAAUAUCGGGAAUGGGAGAAGGGAUGUCAGUCCCGUCUCGUCCCCUCUGUUGGGAAAAUAUGCUCUUUAAAAGCAUAUGUGUUUAUUUAAUUGUAAUAAAUAUUUUUUUCUGAUUAAUAAAAGUAAUGAGGUAUUUUAUGCAAAUAUCUUAAUUGCAUUAAUAUUUUUAUUAAAGUCCAUUUAAUCAUAUUAUAUGUAUUUAUGUGAUUACCAUGUGGAUUCACAGAAGAUAUAAAUACAAGUUAUCUUAUGAUUAAAUAAAUUUAGUUCGCAGUUGAUAAAUAAAGUUGGACACUUUAUUUAGGUAUAGACUGUAAUAAAUUAAUUGAAUGAUUUGUCUUAAUCAUGUAUGAAUUUAUUGAUGUAGUACGACUACAUUGAACAGGAUCACAUAUGAGAUUUAAUUAACUUUGUAAUAACUGUCAGAUUUAUUAAAUCUCAUAGGCAUUGAUUUUACUGCAAUCUUAAUCUUGAGUUAAUUAUGAUUUCAUGAUUAUAAUUGUUAUUCCAUUUGAGUUACCAAUAGGCACGACACAUCCUUGUGGUCAAGAUUACCCGGUAUCUUGGUGGGAGCAAUUAUGAGUAUUGGAGUUAUGGAUUAAUAAUAUAGAAUUUGUACAACACAUCUCUUAAUGGGUUUUCUGCAAUUGAUCAUAGAAUUCUCUGGCCAGAGUGUGUCAACAUAUUUAGUAUGUUGAAAAUGAUUAUUAGAGAAAACCAGUAAGGAUCAAGGAAUAAGAUGUUAUUAAAUUGAUUGGACAGUUGAGAUAUCAAUUUAAUUAACGAUGUGGUACAAAGGAUUGUGCAGUAAAGAAAUCAAUGUGGCUUGGGACGAAUUAUUAUUCGAGCAUAGUUAGGGGCCUUAUGUUAUUUUACAAGGUGGGUCCCCUAUUGAAAAAGAAAACAACGUGAGUUUUAUUUUGAGCAUUCUUGGAGCCUAGGGUUUUCACUAAAGGGUGAUAUAAAAGGCUUAUUUUUCCCUAAAGAAUUUGGAACCUAGGGUUUUCACUAAAGGGUGAUAUAAAAGACUUAUUUUACUCUAAAGAAAAUGAGCAGCCACUUUAUACAGAUCGGAGAAAAAAAAAUUUCUCUCUAUUGUUGAGAGAAAAAUUUUCUCGUGCUAGUUGCUUUGGUAGUGAUAAAGGCGCCCACACCACCCACACGUCAAGUGCAGAUCAAACCUGAGUCAUAACCUGAAAGAUCAUUGGUAACAAUUCGUGAUCUAACAAGCGUGGUGGUAACGGAUCGUGAUUUAACAGGAGUGGUGGUGGCGGAUCGUGAUCUAGGAGCCUAAAUCACUUCAACGGACAAAGCCAAAUCGGAUUUUCAAGGUACGAUUUCUAUAUUACAAAUUCUUAUAUAUUAUAUGAGAGCGAUCUUCAAAAUAUUUUAUAAAAAAUUUAAAAACCUAAUUUUUCCCCAACACCCUCCUCAUUGCCAUCUCUAGUUGCAGGCUUGCUGGCGACAGUGAAAUUAAUUUGAGCCAACAACUGAAUUCUGAAUAUCGUUGUCAACACACCAUAUGAAAUAUACACAUGUCAACGAUUGGUUCUUACAUGGAAAAGACAAAAUUUUGAAAUUCAAAAAUUAACUCAUUUCAGCCCUAAUUCGAUCUCGUUCUGUAAUGCAUGACAACGUCUAGCAAGUUCCUUUCGUGAAGCCAGGUUAAAGAACAAGGGCAGUCCGUUGCAGGCCCCUGAAAAAGUCGCCCAACCCAAUCACUACAACAUUAAAGUACAAUACCUUAAAAACGCUAAGUUUCUUCAAUAAUUUAUCACUUGGCUUUUGGCUAGAGCAACCUUGAUGCCUAAUUUAAAUAAAUUUUCCUUUUCAUUUUAUAAUUUGUAGGGUAACACAAUUAGUAGACAAAAAGGGUAAGAAUAAUAGUUUAAAAUCAACCAUACAUUAUCACUAGUAGAAAUGUGGUAUCAUAUUUUUAAAAUAUAGAUAAUUAGAUUCUAAUUCCACAAUUAGAACCAGUGGAGAUUAAUUAUGAAGAUAAUGUUGUUAUUUAUUUAACAUGUGUCUAUCUGCUAAGAUCUUUCCAUCCCUUUUGUGUUCUUUUUUUUUUUUGUUUAAACCUAUUUUAUGUGUUUUAAUUAAGAGUAAUACUUAUAUUAUACCAAAUUUGAUCCCAUUAAAAGAAAAAUGAUCAUUAUAGAGCCUCUAGUCCUCUACUUUGUCCUUAUAUAAUUGAGUUCUUUUUUCCUCCCAUGUGCAAAUUGUUUAUCUUUGGUUAAUUAAUUGGAUUUAAUUUGACGAUAGAUUAUUAUUGUUAUUGAGAACAUACAUUGCUUAAGAAAUUCAAAUUCACUGUAGUUUAGUUAUAAAAAUUUGUUGAAGAGCCUUGUGGAAACGAUGAAUUUUAAAUUAGAAUAACAACAAUAAAAAUACUUUACUUAAUUGUUUAUAAAUAUAAAAAUAGACGUGUAACAUUUUUUUCCACAAUGUUAUAAAAUCGGAAAAUGAUGUUUGCCCCAGGUCAAACCCUGAAACGACUCAAAACGGCGUUGUUUCGUUUUAAUUUUUUUUUAUACCCUUUGAAACGACGUCGUUUAGUGAUAAUGAAAACGCAAAACAAAAUCCCUUUCCCUGUACCCACUGCCCUUCGAAACAACACCCAUUGCCCUUUAUCUUCAUCUCCUCGUUUCACCGGACAUCCACCUUUGACCAGACAAUCACAACCGAACUGCAUAUCCUUUAGAAGGCAGAUGUUCCUUCGUUCGCCUUGUUCCCCUUUCCUUCAUCGACCGAGUUGCAACCAUUUGCAAUCCACCACAACCGCGACUGAAACUGCCAUUUGACAACUUCACUCUCUCACUUGCUUCUACAGAAAUUAGUAGGAUGCCAGGAGAUGGGCGAAGAGGUUUUGAAAUCAGUAGAGACUCAAGUUCCUGCUGCUGUUUAAAUUAAAAUCAGACCAACACUAAGAUGAAGGUCUCCAAUCUCAAUGGAUUUUUUGAUUUCUGUGCUUUCCAAUGUGAACUUUGGGGCCAGAAACCCACAAUAAACACUUAUAUUGUUUCUCACUGCAUGAUUUUUCCAUCCUUGUAGCUAUUAGGCAAAUUAUUUACUGCAGGAUGCUAUAGGAUCACGGCUUUGUAAUCUUUUGGGUGGUAGAUUUUUGGUUGAUAAGAUAUUGAGUUGGUGUUGUAUCUUUUCCGUCUUUCUGAAACCGCCUUCAUCUGGAGCUGUUGUAACAUGGAAUAUCAUUGUGACAACUUUUGGAAAAUAAAAGCAAGUCUUUCAAUUUGCGGUUUGUUUACAGUUUGCUGUGGUGUCUCAAUGUUGAUGCAAAUUAGAAAAUCAAAUUAAAAUUGAAAUAUGUUUUUGUUAUUAGUUAGCACUAUCAUUUUCAACCGGGUUAAAGAAAGAGGAAGAAGAAGGCUGCAAACCAAAACCGAGAACAAAGAACAAAAGUUCAAGCCGAUGACGUCGUCGUUCGUUGAAAUCACAACAAAGAACUUCCAUUCAAGCCGAGACGUCGUCGUUCAUUGAAAUCAGAACGAACGCAAAAUUUAAGCCGAAACGUCGUCGUUCAACGCA